UAAUACGUAGGGGCCAAGCGUUGUCCGGAUUUAUUGGGCGUAAAGAGCUCGUAGGCGGUUUGGAUAGUCGGGUGUGAAAACUCCGAGCUCAACUCGGAGACGCCACCCGAUACUGCCAUGACUAGAGUCCGGUAGGGGAGCAGGGAAUUCCUGGUGUAGCGGUGAAAUGCGCAGAUAUCAGGAGGAACACCGGUGGCGAAGGCGCUGCUCUGGGCCGGUACUGACGCUGAGGAGCGAAAGCGUGGGUAGCAAACAGGAUUAGAUACCCUGGUAGUCCACGCCGUAAACGUUGGGCACUAGGUGUGGGCCCUAACCAACGGGGUCCGUGCCGCAGCUAACGCAUUAAGUGCCCCGCCUGGGGAGUACGGCCGCAAGGCUA
rnacentral:rRNA from 1 species